rnacentral:tRNA from 1 species
GGCGUGGUAGCUCAGCUGGUUAGAGCGUGCGAUUCAUAAUCGCAAGGUCGGCGGUUCAAGCCCGCCUCACGCUACAA